UGAUGAUGAUAAUGAUGACGACGGUGGUCAUGAUAAUGAUGAUGAUAAAGAUUAUCUCUAUCAUCAUCGUCAUCAUCAUCGUCGUCAUCAUCAGCG
rnacentral:pre_miRNA from 1 species